CUAAAGAUGGCGACCGGCGCACGGGUGAGUAACACGUAUCCAACCUGCCGAUGACUCGGGGAUAGCCUUUCGAAAGAAAGAUUAAUACCCGAUGGCAUAGUUCUUCCGCAUGGUAGAACUAUUAAAGAAUUUCGGUCAUCGAUGGGGAUGCGUUCCAUUAGGUUGUUGGCGGGGUAACGGCCCACCAAGCCUUCGAUGGAUAGGGGUUCUGAGAGGAAGGUCCCCCACAUUGGAACUGAGACACGGUCCAA
rnacentral:rRNA from 1 species